GAUGAAGAACGUAGCGAAAUGCGAUACUUGGUGUGAAUUGCAGAAUCCCGUGAACCAUCGAGUCUUUGAACGCAAGUUGCGCCCGAAGCCAUUAGGCCGAGGGCACGCCUGCCUGGGUGUCACACGUCGUUGCCCCCCCAUCUACUCCUUCGGGAUUGCGGGGGGCGGAUGAUGGCCUCCCAUGCGCCUCGUCGCGCGGUUGGCAUAAAUGCCAAGUCCUCGGCGACGCACGCCACGACAAUCGGUGGUUGCGAAACCUCGGUUGCCCGUCGUGUGCGGUCGUCGCGCAUCGAGGGCUCGAAAAAAUUGCCGGGCUCCGGCUCGGCUUUCAACGCGACCCCAGGUCAGGCGGGGUUACCCGCUGAAUUUAAGCAUAUCAUAAGCGGAGGA
rnacentral:misc_RNA from 1 species